rnacentral:lncRNA from 1 species
AAUGUAAUUUAUUUGAAAUACUUCCAGAAAAGUUUAAGGCCAUUAUACAAAAAGGUCUUCCAGCAGGAGGUCUUUCACGGGGAUUGGCUGACGGUACAGCUGGUAGCAAAGCUGCUCAUUGUGGGUGACGGCUCGAGUGAUCACAAGCACUUCUUGGAACAGGAAAACAUGCAGUUUCUAGAAGAAAAACAUGACAACACAAGACUCGAGAGCUGUCGAUCAGGGAGUCUUUCUGGCCUUCUUCCAAAUGAAUGAUCUCUCUUGAAAUAUUAAGGCAUAUUUUCUAAAUUAUUCAUCUUAGAACAUUACUUGCCUUUCGGAUACCUUUGGGAUAUUUCAGCCUUGGUGCUAAAAUUGACUCCUGAACUAAAGCU